rnacentral:rRNA from 1 species
GACGAACGCUGGCGGCGUGCUUAACACAUGCAAGUCGAACGGAAAGGCCCUGCUUUUGUGGGGUGCUCGAGUGGCGAACGGGUGAGUAACACGUGUGUAACCUGCCCUUGACUUUGGGAUAACUUCAGGAAACUGGGGCUAAUACCGGAUAGGAGCUCCUGCUGCAUGGUGGGGGUUGGAAAGUUUCGGCGGUUGGGGAUGGACUCGCGGCUUAUCAGCUUGUUGGUGGGGUAGUGGCUUACCAAGGCUUUGACGGGUAGCCGGCCUGAGAGGGUGACCGGCCACAUUGGGACUGAGAGACGGCCCAGACUCCUACGGGAGGCAGCAGUGGGGAAUAUUGCACAAUGGGCGGAAGCCUGAGGCAGCAACGCCGGGUGCGGGAUGACGGCCUUCGGGUGGUAAACCGCUUUCGCCUGUGACGAAGCGUGAGUGACGGUAAUGGGUAAAGAAGCACCGGCUAACUACGUG